GACGAACGCUGGCGGCGUGCUUAACACAUGCAAGUCGAACGGAAAGGCCCUGCUUUUGUGGGGUGCUCGAGUGGCGAACGGGUGAGUAACACGUGAGUAACCUGCCCUUGACUUUGGGAUAACUUCAGGAAACUGGGGCUAAUACCGGAUAGGAGCUCCUGCUGCAUGGUGGGGGUUGGAAAGUUUCGGCGGUUGGGGAUGGACUCGCGGCUUAUCAGCUUGUUGGUGGGGUAGUGGCUUACCAAGGCUUUGACGGGUAGCCGGCCUGAGAGGGUGACCGGGCCAAGUGGGGGGUGAGAGCGGCCCAGGCCUCCGCGGGGGGGAGGGGGGGGGGAUUAUGCAAAAGGGGGGGGGGGCGGAAGGCAGAACCGCCGGGGGGGGGAGGGGGGCUGUGGGGUUGAAACCGGUUUGCGCGGGGGACGAGGGGGGGGGGAGGGAAGUGGGAAAAGAAGCCCGGCAAAACUGGGG
rnacentral:rRNA from 1 species